rnacentral:piRNA from 1 species
UGAAAGGCUGAUACCUGUAAUUUGAGUGC